rnacentral:rRNA from 1 species
ACGGCGAGUGAACCGGGAAGAGCUCAAAUUUGAAAUCUGGCGUCCUCAGGGCGUCCGAGUUGUAAUCUAUAGAGGCGUUUUCCGUGCCGGACCGUGUCCAAGUUCCUUGGAACAGGAUAUCAAAGAGGGUGACAAUCCCGUACUUGACACGACGACCGGUGCUCUGUGAUACGUCUUCUACGAGUCGAGUUGUUUGGGAAUGCAGCUCAAAAUGGGUGGUGAGUUCCAUCUAAAGCUAAAUAUUGGCGAGAGACCGAUAGCGAACAAGUACCGUGAGGGAAAGAUGAAAAGCACUUUGGAAAGAGAGUUAAACAGUACGUGAAAUUGUUGAAAGGGAAACGAUUGAAGUCAGUCGUGACCGAGAGGCUCAGCCGGUUCUGCCGGUGUAUUCCCCUCGGUCGGGUCAACAUCAGUUUUGUCCGGUGGAUAAGGGCGGUAGGAAGGUGGCACCCUCGGGUGUGUUAUAGCCUGCCGUCGCAUACAUCGGGUGAGACUGAGGAACGCAGCUCGCCUUUAUGGCCGGGGUUCGCCCACGUCCGAGCUUAGGAUGUUGACAUAAUUGGC